UGGCGGACGGGUGAGUAAUGUCUGGGAAACUGCCCGAUGGAGGGGGAUAACUACUGGAAACGGUAGCUAAUACCGCAUAACGUCGCAAGACCAAAGAGGGGGACCUUAGGGCCUCUUGCCAUCGGAUGUGCCCAGAUGGGAUUAGCUAGUAGGUGGGGUAACGGCUCACCUAGGCGACGAUCCCUAGCUGGUCUGAGAGGAUGACCAGCCACACUGGAACUGAGACACGGUCCAG
rnacentral:rRNA from 1 species